CCUACGGGAGGCAGCAGUGGGGAAUCUUGCGCAAUGGGCGAAAGCCUGACGCAGCAACGCCGCGUGCGGGAUGAAGGCCUUCGGGUUGUAAACCGCUUUUACCAGGAAGGAAAAUGACAGUACCUGGAGAAUAAGGUGCGGCCAGCUACGUGCCAGCAGCCGCGGUGACACGUAGGCACCAAGCGUUGUCCGGAUUUAUUGGGCGUAAAGAGCUCGUAGGCGGUUCAGUAAGUCGGGUGUGAAAACUCUGGGCUCAACUCAGAGACGCCACCCGAUACUGCUGUGACUUGAGUCCGGUAGGGGAGUGGGGAAUUCCUGGUGUAGCGGUGAAAUGCGCAGAUAUCAGGAGGAACACCAAUGGCGAAGGCACCACUCUGGGCCGAGACUGACGCUGAGGAGCGAAAGCGUGGGUAGCAAACAGGAUUAGAUACCCUGGUAGUCCACGCCGUAAACGGUGGGCACUAGGUGUGGGUUCCAACCAACGGAAUCCGCGCCGGCGCUAACGCAUUAAGUGCCCCGCCUGGGGAGUACGGCCGCAAGGUUAAAACUCAAAGGAAUUGACGG
rnacentral:rRNA from 1 species